GGCCCCUGGGCCUAUCCUAGAACCAACCUAAGCCCGUGCAUCUCUCCAGACGCCAGGAGCUCGAAGACCGAAGACGCUGCGUGCACCACGCCGUCCCCUGCGCCCCCGACUCCUGAAGUCACGGGUGACCGGCGGGGCCAGCGGCUCCCAGACUGCGAUGCCGAAUGGAAACUGUGCUUACUGGGCCAGAGAUUUAGCUCCGUGGUUCCACCGCCUGCCUCGAAAGCACAAGGUCCCGAGUUCGAUCCCGGUAACAACAACAACAACAAAAAGUCUGUUUUUAGCAGAAGCGACUUAGCCGCAAAAACAAAAAGGCGAGCCCUGCGCCCCAGUAACCUCCUCCAAAUGAAUGGUUGUGUUUUCCUAGACGCUUCCUCCCGCAGCCCGGCCUCUGGCCCCUUUACUGAAGGGCACCUGCACCGGGCAGUGGGAGCUAGUACCGGGCAGCCAGCCCUCACCUGAACCUGGGCCCGGCCCCCUGGAGAGCUGCUGCAGUCAUGAGAUGAGCAGGAGACCGACGAGCCAACGCCGUGCACCCGGCCGACUAUGGGGCCGUGCAGAACAGUUUAUUUUUGUCCCUUGCUGUUGUAGAUUUUUAAACUCUUCUGACUUAGGAAGUUCUGCCUCUGGCCCCUCGCUGUGGCGCUGCCUGUGUAAUUGGAAGGCCGGGCCGGGAGGGCGGGCCGCGCACCUGGCAGUGUACUCUUUGGGUCCCUUCGGGCGUCUCUGGAAUUACUGCCGCACCACAGUCCCCCACAGACUUACUGUUGCCCUUUAGUCCGAGGUUUGCCGCCCUUCUCUCCACAUUUUCUGCAGUGUUUUCCCGUGUACUCGUCUGGGAGCAUAGUGGGCUGUGUGGACAGCCUGGGGUGAAUGUGAGCCGUGGGUUUACCUAGGACAGCUGUUGUCUAACAGUGUGAGAGGCCUUUCCACCCCCCCCACCCCCCCAAAAUCGGGAUUGAACCUAAGGCUUUGCAUGGAGCUACAUCCCCAGUCCUUUUUUUAUUUUUGAGACAGGAUCUCACUGCAUUGCCCAGGCUGGACUGGAACUUGUGAUCCUCCCGCCUCAGCCUCCUACAGCACAGCGCAGGAUUGCAGGUUUGCACCACCACACCCAGUUACACUGGUUUGUUUCUUUUGUUUCUUUUUCUUUUUUUUUUUUUUUUGAUACUGGGGAUCAAACUCGGGAGCUUGUGCUUGUGAGGCAGGUCCCAGAACCACUGAGCUAAAUCCCUGGCCAACUGGUUUGUUUCUUUGUUUUGGUACCGGGGGUCGAACUCAGGUCCUUGCAGCGGAACCACUGAGCUAAAUCCCCAGCCUCCCUGGUUUUUGUUGUUGUUGUUGUUGUUGUUUUGGAGACAGGAUUUCACUAUAUAUCCCAAGGUGGCUUGGAACUCAGUGAUCCUCCUGCCUCAGCUUCCCAAGUGUUGGAAUUACAGGCGUGGGCCACCACACUCAAUUAUGAACACUGAACAUGGGAAUGGGAGGGCAGCUCAGUGGUACAACACCUGCAUACUGUGCAAAGGCCCUGGGUUUAAUCCACAUCACCACCAAAAAUUAAUAAAAUUAUAUGUAUAUAUAUAUAUAUAUAUAUAUAUAUAUAUAUAUAUAUAUACACACAUACAGAAUUGGAGAAUAUUCUUUGAGAGACAUUUUGGUUCUUACUUUUUGGUCACUUGUGCUUUGUGUAUCAGAACUAUGUUUUUCCGAACUCUACCUAAAGACUUGAGAUUAUAAUCUUUAGGGGUUAUGAAAACACCAUAAAAGCUGACCAUUUUUAAGGGCACAGUUUAAAAGUGUAAAUAUUCAUGUCCACACGGUAGUGAAGCUGCUCUGGAACUUUGUCACUCUGUGAGUCUGAAACUCAGCCCCUUUUCUUCCCCACCCCGUGGCGCUUCCUGUCGCGUCCCCAGUGGGGAGCCCGGGGCGGCUCCCUCGCUCCCUGCGGCCCCUGAUCCUUUCCCUGCUGGCAUUCAGGGGCCGCUGCCUGGAUGCAGGUGUCUGAUUUUAAACGCAGGCCUUGACUCUUAUUUUGUCACAUCAACUUUGGCCCAGCUAUUUUAAAAGAAUGGCCAAGGAGCCAACGGCAGGUUAUAUGUGGCUGUGCUGUGUCACUGUCCCUUCCUGAUAAAGAAAUCACUAAUAAAAGCUGCCUCCUCAUACCUUCUGUGUAUGUUCCUUUUUUUCCCUGAUGUUUGCAACAUGAUUAACGGCAAAAAGGAAAAACCCUUUUUCUCUUGCUUCUCUUUCUC
rnacentral:lncRNA from 1 species